UACGGAGGGUCCAAGCGUUAUCCGGAAUCAUGGGGUUUAAAGGGUCCGUAGGCGGUUUAGUAAGUCAGUGGUGAAAGCCCAUCGCUCAACGGUGGAACGGCCAUUGAUACUGCUAAACUUGAAUUAUUAGGAAGUAACUAGAAUAUGUAGUGUAGCGGUGAAAUGCUUAGAGAUUACAUGGAAUACCAAUUGCGAAGGCAGGUUACUACUAAUUGAUUGACGCUGAUGGACGAAAGCGUGGGUAGCGAACAGG
rnacentral:rRNA from 1 species